rnacentral:rRNA from 1 species
GAUGAACGCUGGCGGCGCGCUUAACACAUGCAAGUCGAACGGAAAGGCCAGUGCUUGCCCUGGUACUCGAGUGGCGAACGGGUGAGUAACACGUGGGUGAUCUGCCCUGCACUUCGGGAUAAGCCUGGGAAACUGGGUCUAAUACCGGAUAGGACAAUGGUUUGGAUGCCGUUGUGGAAAGUUUUUUCGGUGUGGGAUGAGCUCGCGGCCUAUCAGCUUGUUGGUGGGGUAAUGGCCUACCAAGGCGUCGACGGGUAGCCGGCCUGAGAGGGUGUACGGCCACAUUGGGACUGAGAUACGGCCCAGACUCCUACGGGAGGCAGCAGUGGGGAAUAUUGCACAAUGGGCGCAAGCCUGAUGCAGCGACGCCGCGUGGGGGAUGACGGCCUUCGGGUUGUAAACUCCUUUCGCUAGGGACGAAGCGUAUUUGUGACGGUACCUGGAGAAGAAGCACCGGCUAACUACGUG